AUGAAUGAACAAGUUGGGGAUGAACAAAACAUACCCUUCGGUUGGCCAGACCAAUGCAGCGACGGCAACAUCAGACUCGGCAUCGUCCAUGGCCUUCUUCUUGGCGGCUUUCUUGUUGUUCGUCGUGGAAGUAGUCGGAGCAGAGGAGGAUGGAGACGGGGACGGAUCGGGAGCAGUCGCACUGAGAUGCUCCCCAAAACCUUAUCGCCCUUCUCCCAGACAGGAUCUCUGAAAGCACAAGUUAUUGACCAGAGGGAAGGAUACGAGAUCCAGCUCUCCGGCGCGCAACGGCGCCGUACUCCCUCUCGCGGCCACUACGAGCCAGCCACCGGAGUGGCCAGGCCCUCGGCGCUCCGCUGGGUUCCCUACGCCGUGGCGCUGUCCACCGUCCGGGCUCUCCAGGCAGCGACCCACGAGGACCUCCGCCGCCGCGUGCAGCAGCUUUCGCGUGCAAUGAGCUGCACGUUCUUCUGUGACGCUGCGGCCGAUCAGCGCAUGAUGCCGCCAUUCUCGGCUAGCCGUCGGUUCCCUGAAAAUGAGGUGUUCAUCUGUCCCGACCUCGCGCCCCUCAGGGACGCGCUGCUGGCAGUGAACCAGGCGAUGACACAGGUGGCAGCGAAGGAUGCAAGCGAGGAGGCGUGCAGCUGCUAG
rnacentral:rRNA from 1 species